ACCUCAUUAGUCUGGAUGUGCCUAAUGGAUAAGGCAUCGGUUUCCUAAACCGGGGAUUGUGGGUUCGACUCCUGUCAGGGGUA